GAAGCAAUAACCUAGCAGCCAGCGUCGCAGCAACGGUCGGUGUCGUCUGCAACUUCAUCGAGAGGCUAUGGAACCAAUUGUUGAAAGCACACUAAUUGUUGAAAGCAAACCAAUCAUUGAAAGCACGGAUUGGGAAGAUUUCACUAAUGAAGUUGAAAGAGUCAAGGAAGAUUUAGUCAAUAAAAAGGGAUAUGAAAUCUCUCGCCUGAAAGAGUUGAUGGCUAAAUCUCGAUCGCUUAUUGGUCAAGGAGACGCUUUUGCUUAUUGAUCAACUCAAAUCCUUUUCCUCUAAUAACCAAGGAGUUGGAGAAGAUCCAUAAGGAAGAUAAGGACUUCCCGACUAAGUUACAGAAGGAAUCCCAGGAGGUCCCAGGAGGUCGAGGAGAAGGAAUCCCAGGAGGUCGAGGAGGAGGAG